rnacentral:rRNA from 1 species
UACGUAGUGGGCUAGCGUUGUCCGGAAUCAUUGGGCGUAAAGCGCGCGUAGGCGGCCCGGUAAGUCCGCUGUGAAAGUCAAAGGCUCAACCUUUGAAUGUCAGCGGAUACUGCCAGGCUAGAGUCCGGAAGAGGCGAGUGGAACUCCUGGUGUAGCGGUGAAAUGCGCAGAUAUCAGGAAGAACACCCGUGGCGAAGGCGGCUCUCUGGUACGUGACUGACGCUGAGACGCGAAAGCGUGGGGAGCGAACAGG